rnacentral:rRNA from 1 species
GGGUGCGAUCAUACCAGCACUAAUGCACCGGAUCCCAUCAGAAUUCCGAAGUUAAGCGUGCUUGGGCGAGAGUAGUACUAGGAUGGGUGACCCCCUGGGAAGUCCUCGUGUUGCACCCC